rnacentral:rRNA from 1 species
ACGUAAGCUCGAGAGGAAGCACUGGCUAACUCUGUGCCAGCAGCCGCGGUAAUACAGAGAGUGCAAACGUUGUUCGGAAUCACUGGGCUUAAAGAGCACGUAGGCGGCGCUACAAGUGUCGGGUGAAAUCCCACGGCUCACCCGUGGAACUGCCCGGCAGACUGUGGUGCUCGAGUGUGGUAGGGGAGAGCGGAACUCCAGGUGGAGCGGUGAAAUGCGUAGAUAUCUGGAGGAACACCGGUGGCGAAGGCGGCUCUCUGGUCCACAACUGACGCUGAGGUGCGAAAGCUAGGGGAGCAAACGGGAUUAGAUACCCCGGUAGUCCUAGCUGUAAACGAUGGACACUAGCUUGGGGUCUCCCUGUGUGAUCUCAGGUGAAGCAAAAGUGAUAAGUGUCCCGCCUGGGGAGUAUGGUCGCAAGGCUGAAACUCAAAGGGAUUGACGGGGGCUCACACAAGCGGUGGAGCAUGUGGUUUAAUUCGAAGCAACGCGAAGAACCUUACCCAGGCUUGACAUGCAGGGGCUAGUCCGGUGAAAGCCGGAUGAUUACCUUCG